AUAUUAUCACGAAGGUGCAGUAUUCUAGUCAACUAGAAUAGAUGAGAAUGCCGAAAUAAGCAUUGUUGGCACAACUAUGAAGUUCGUGGUGCUGGCUUUGAUUGCCCAAAUCGGGGCUGGUACUGGGAGUUAAGAUUUUUGGGUCGCGUAUAAUGGCAUAUAUGUUUAAACCCAAUUAUCGCGGAGACCUAAGUUGGUAAAUCUAAAAUAUUUGUAUCAGCAAAUGUUUUUCCUUAUCGCUUGGGGUAGAAACCUGCAUGUGGCGAAAGUUAUAUGCAGUGUAGCCUGCUUUGAGUGGGCAAUUAGGGAUAAAGCGACAACUUUAUUUAAACGAAGUACAAGUUAAAAUGAAGUUGCUUUUGAAAUAUUGCCUGCAAAAUUAAGAUAAAUCUUUUCGAUGUUGUUAAGGAAAACUUCUAGACUGUUAGUUUAACUAGACAGAUUGGGGAUUAUAGUGUGGUCUAAGUGGCGAUUCGGUGCAAGUUUUGCGUAAAGGGAAACCGCUUAGCGGGUGACUGCUAAGUGCAGAAUUGGGAAAUCCAACCGAACCUAAGCCGCAAGGUUUACUCAAUUUGUUGCCUUCGUAAUUUUAU
rnacentral:sRNA from 1 species